UGAGAUGAAACUUCUUCCAGAUUGUUACACGCUGCAUUUAAAAGAAAAGAUGUGAUGUGAUUUGUUGACAAAAAAUAUCUUUUUCUUUAUAAUAUACAUAAUUUUAAAAAAAUAGUAUUACCUCACAAAGGAUGAUUUCUUUUACCAUCUUGCGAAAGAGGUUAGCUGGACCACAUGACCAGCGGUGCUGCUGAAAUCUGUAAGCCUUGAAGGUACUCGGGAGUUCGUUCUUGACCUAAAUGAACUAUGUUAUGAAUCUGAUAUAUAGAGGUUUCUAGGCAUUUCCAUAAAUAAGAAUUUUUGAAGUAAUAAACUCACAGCUAAGUCGCCCACAAACAAAAAUUUCCAGCCCUUAAGGCUAGCCCUGACUGCAAGAUCCAUGUCCUCUACUGUGGUCCUGUCUUUCCAUCCACCAGCAUCAUUCACUGCUCGAAUUCUCCACACGCCAGCAGUCCCUACAAUUCAACCCAUAAAGCUAAUUACAUUCUCAAAAUAAUUUCUAGCUGUAAAUGCCUGUAUGUAGAGUAAGACCCGAAUCUUUGCUUACCGUUGAACCCAAAAAAUGAACAUGUUGACGAGCCAACUUCUUGCUCAACACUGAAAUGAUAGUCCAGUGACAUCUCUUGAAGUCGAGUCAUCAGACAUUCAUCUGCAUUGACUGUGGAAAGAUUUUCACUUACAUUAAUAACAAGUUAGGAAGAACUAGAAAUAUGGCUGAAGCUGUUAAUUCUGUUUCUAUGUAUUGAUUUAAGUACGCUUUGCUUCUGAUAUUUUCUUUUUUAGAUAAAUCUUUUCAUGUAAAGUUCUUUGAGUGAGAUGGAAACAGCACAAAACAAUCCUCUAAUCAUAAAAGGGACACAAUCACAAUUUAUUAUCACAGACAUAGUAAUCCAAUAUUCUUUAAUUUUCACCUCUUUUGAACUACUUUAAAUUUUGUUUGUUUUUUGAGUUUAUGACCAAUUAUUCAGUGUCUAUAUGGACAUAAUGCUGUUUUGGCGUUACCAAAUUUCCAUCUGGCUUGAACCAGACCCAGUUCUGGGUUAUUGAGAAGAUACGGUAUGGUCCUCCAAAGAAAGUCUUCUUCAGGCUGAAAGUCUGCAUCGAAGAUCACAACAAACUCACAGUCAUCCACAUACUGCUUCUUUAGACCCUCCUUGAGAGCACCAGCUUUGUAGCCAUUCCUGUUGUUUCUUGUUUCGUAUUUCACGUUUAUCCCUCUCUCUAUCCACUUUCGGCACUCCAAGUCCACUAAUGUCUGCAAUUAUAUUCUCAAACAUUAAUUAAGUUCAUAAGAUUCUUAGAUUUUGCUCUCAGAUAAAGUGAGUUGAAAGAGAUACCCUUAAAACUUCGUUGGUGGAGUCAUCAAGCACCUGCACUAUGAGCCUAUCUGAUGGCCAUGACAAGCCACAUACAGCUCCAAUUGAAAGCUUGUAAACCUGAUUAAAAAACAAUAAGAUGAGUAAUGGUUAUUCUUUUGUAGAGAAAGUUCAUAUCCCUAUCCAUCUGCUGUUCAUAACUGCAGAAAAUAUCUGGAUUUGUAUAGUAAGUUCAUAUCCUUAUUCCUUUCAAUGUCCUGACUUCUUCGUUUGACCUUGUUAGCCAAUUACCAUUGACCUUUGAGAUCUAUUUAAUUACUUAGUCUCUUGGUCUCUUGCUUUUAAAAUGAUGGUGUUGUAGCAGUACUCAACAGAGAAAAGUUUAGUUCUUUGCUGGAUGGUCCAGAUAAGGGGGAAGCUGGGAAGGGGAAGGGUGAGAGAAGAACAAAUAUUUCUCCUUUAGCGGUGAAGGUAAAAUCCUCCCAUGAACUUUCACUUGAUACUCGGAUAUGGGUGUACACUGUGUGUUGUUUCUAGGUUUUUGAUUAUUGAUGGCUGUGAGAAACGAAAUUGUACUUUCUUUUUCUGAUUAACUAAAUUUUUUUCAGUUUUGAGAUCAUUCAAUGUUAGUGAUUUAUUCUCUAAAAAUUCCUCUCAAGAUGGAAAAAAUAUAACUGAUGAUCAGAAAAAAGAAAGAGCGAUGGAAACAGGCAUAUUCGCAGUUUCAUCUAGGGAAAACUGAAACACAAUGCUAAACAAUAAUCAUGUAUGCAUAAGUUUAAAUCUCUGGAGCUUGAUCAGAAAAGACAUAUACUCAAGUAAAGUAUGUACCUCCUUUUCGUUGAACAUAGGAAUUUGGACUAACACCAUUGGGUAGUUUUUGUUUUUCUCUAGGUCUUCUCUUAUGGACUCGAGCUUAUACUUGGUAUAUCUUUUCUUUCCGAAGCACUUGACCCCUGCUAUCACUAUUGCCAUAUAAAUACGCUCAAGAAAGAGCAUGAUGGACAUCGCUAUGCAUAGAUACAUUGCAAAGUGUAGAGCAGGGACUACUACUGGAACUCGUAUUCGCUCCCAAGCAUUAUUUAGACUUUGAGUAGUAUUGGUGCUUACUCUGAGCCCAGGAUCUUGGAAAACGAGAUUUCUCAUGGUUUGUGCUCGAGCUGCUAUAUGGAGGACCUGAGUUCUGAGUUUAGUAAGAGAGCAGAGCACUUUAGGUUGAAAGGAAUGAUCUUGCCCUGCAAGGACAUAGAGAUGGAGUGAGAUUGUGGUGAACUGUAGGAUGCCGGUUUUGUUGCUUUAAAUAAAGAUGAAGUGUGAUUGUGGUGAAGGUGAAGAUAGUAAAUAGAGAUGAGGUGGAGUGGUGUCGUAGAUUGAGUAAUCCAUUUAAAUAGAGUUCUUCUAUGCGAGAGACACACGGUCUACAUGCACUCAAGGUGCUGCAACGUAUCAUCUUGCUAGCUGUAGUUCUGUCUUUUCUCUCCGACAAUGCUGUUGGAGGAUCUGAACAUAAACAUACGUGUUAAACUUUUCUUUCCGAUAAUAAAGAUUAAGUUUUGAAUGAUUAUAUGUACAUCAUACCCAGUGUAAUCCCACAAAGUGGGGUCUAGGGAUGGUAGAGUGCGCUCAGACCUUACCUCUACCUCAAAGAUUGAGAGGUUGUUUCCUAUAGAACUGAAGCUCAACGAAUGGUUUAUAUCUAUUUAGGUAUUUAAAGAGAAGUGCAUAAGAGAAGAAUUUCACAAAUUGCUUCUUAACUCCCUCAAUCCUUUUGUAUAAGUUGUCAUCUUCUCUCACUAUUGUCGAUAUCCCUUUUUUAGCUCCUAAUUUACUUUUCUUAGAGUACUAGUGGUAAUUCUGAUCUAGAUCAGAAACAAAACGCUUAGCUUAAUAGGACUACGUCGUUUUAUCCUGGCACCGACAGUAAGUGAUUGCUUUUAAAAUCAUACUAUCAAAUGAAUGAAAAUUGCAGCUUACGCUUUGAAGUUCUUUACAGCUGGUAUAACUCUGUUUUUUCUGAAUGUAGAGCCAUGAAGUGAUGCAUAAAUCUAGCCUCAAAGAUGACACCCAUAGUUUGGAAUUAUGUGAAUAUAUAACAUAACACGUUUUGAGCGCGUCCAAGGGUAACAUUAUCAUCAACUCUUUGAAUUGUCAUCUAAAUCGUCGAUUCUUGUGUUUGAUUCUUAUAGUCCCGAUGGAUAUGUUGGUAAGUGGUUAGAUUUAUUUAAAUGUUUAUAAUUACCUUAUGAAGGGUGACUUUCCUAAUUAUUCAUGGCUGUCAAUAAUUCUUUAGAAAGUAUGAACUUUGCUUUAAAUACGUCACUCGUUGAGAGCAAUAAAUUUCUAACUAAGCUAUGUCCAAUUUUGUUUAUAUCAAUAGAUUGUUGGUUAACCUGGCUGAUUUGGUUACUCAAUCUGUCAACUUUCCUGCACCAAAAUGUUGUUAAGUUAGUUGAACUUAAAAGCAAAUCUAAUCUGUUUGUGACAAACAUCAUGGUAAAAAUUUUACCCGUGUAUUUGCACCAAACUAGUGAAUGCUAGACAUGUCUCUUUCAUAUUUACAUUCAGCGAUUAAUCAUGGUUAAGUUGUAUGCAUUCUCAUUCUAAUGCUUAACUACUAAGGUUAACAUACUUGAUUUGUAUAAUCAUCCGGUGUGAGUAUGUAUUUACCCAAACUUCACUUCAUAUGAAACAGGAAUAUUGAGCUUAACUAGCACGUCUAUUUACGUUUAGCACUCCAUAAAUUGAUGUAUUUUGAAAAUAAAAGUAUGGUGCUUGCCAUUUUCGUUUUACUAAUUUCGAGUCUUUUGGUUGUGUACUGAUAACCACUAAACUUAGUAAUCCUAUAUAUUGUCAUAUAUAAGUUGUCCUGAGUUUGAGCCGAGGUUCCUCCAGAAACAACCUCUCUACCUCGACGAGGUAGGGGUAAGGACUGUGUACACUCUACACACCCCAGACCCAACUUGUGGGAUUUCGUUGGGUAUGUUGUUGUUGCUGUUGUUAUUGCAUAAGUACUUGGAAUAGAUUUCGGUAUUGUUGAUGCUUUGUUUUUUAUAUUCUCUUCGUAGUACUCCAAACUAUAUUCCUUUUUGGGAAUGUGAUGGUUGUGAUUGUGGGGAAUUAAGUAAUAACAAAAACAAAAUUGGACCAGCUACCUUAGGUUCUUAAGCCACUUCAAGUGCAGUUAAGAUUCUAUAAGUUCAUAUCGUCCUGGAAAUCUCCUCCACAAUGCGUAGCAUAACUAAGAUUUCUUGAGAUCUCCAAUGCUAUUUCCAUGUGAUUAUGUGAAAAAUCUAUUUUUAAAGUUGUAGACUUCAAGAUCUUGUGAGGAUAUGAUAUCUGCUGUCAUAUCUAUGAUCUUGAACAACCAUCUCUAUUAUACAAGUUAAAUAGUGAAAAAUAAGCACAUAGGCGCUAAAAAUACAGUUUACAAUCCCUUAAUGCUGCGGAGUAGAAAUAGUGGACUUCUUAGGAGUUUUGUAAUUAAUGUUUCCUCAGCAUUAAGGAUAUGCUGGCCACCUCCAAAACUGUGUGAUUACAUUGUUCUUUGCACCAAAAACAUAGAGAGAUAAUACAAUUCCAUUUGAUCAGCCUCCGAAAAUCCUUUCAUUUCUCUCCUUCCAUAUGUUCCACCAAAUGCAGGCUGAUACUGUUUUCACCAGAUAAAAGUUAGUUUCUAGUGACCUAUGUAUGAGCAAUAUCUGUUUUUCCGGGGAAGACAUUAGUGAGUCCUGUAUAUUACAUGUCGAACACUGAUUAUAUAUUUUGUUUCUAGAGGUUUAGUUUCCAUUUCUAGAAUAGUAUCGACUAUAUUGUUCAAACACUUCUAAUUGUUUUUUCUGUAAUGUCAUGUUGGGUGAUGCGGCCAAAUUGGUACUGAUUAUGUAUAUCGUGGAUAUACGUCCUACUUUUGAUAAUUUACAAUAUGGUACAGCAGUCCUCUUGUUUAAAAAUCUGACAUGUUUUCAGAUGCAAGUGGUUUCUUUCUUUCCUUUGUAAUUUAAAACAUCUAAAGGUUUCGAAGUAUUAAAGUAAAACAACUUAUGUCUUGUGGUUACUUGAUAAUAAUCCAAUAUAUUAGUAUUUCCAUCUUCUCUUUUGUUUAUUGCUAUAAACUAGAUCUAAGCAAUCUUUCCAAACAAAAUAACGAAACAUACAUCCAUUACAAUCUAUCUUCUUUUCUGUUACUUUUAAGAAUGAUGUAUUUUUGUUGGAUCGGAGCAAAACCCGUGCUACAGAAAUGAUUAGAGUAGUUUUAAGAAUCUUGGCCUUGAGUUCAAUUCUAAAUUCUUGUGCUGUUGUGCAUGCUCCACAUUUUACCCCGUCCUUAAUGCUGAAUGCAGCUGUGUGGGGUCACACCUUUUUAUAUCUCAACCCUUACUUUCAUGUUCAUCAAUCUUGAACCUGAUAUCAUGCCUAUGCGGCUAAUCAAUCAGAGCACAUGAAUAUCCCAAUUUGUUGGGCGAACACUGGUUACUAUAAUGGUUCGUUCUUUUACCUGACUCGAUUGUUGAUCAUCAAAGAUUAGUUUGUGCAUCUGUUGAUGGGUGCCUGUGAUUAUUGUUUGGACGGAUACAUCAUGCGACAUCUAAUGAUCAUGGAGGAGUGCUGGUAUGCUUUAGUGAGAAAUCUAUCACAUCUAUGCGUUCUUAAUGUAUUCAUUCAUUGACAGCUUACCGCUUUGUAAAAGACCUUACAAACAACAAAAGGAUUCGACUCGGGGAAUAAGCAUUGUAUCUGACGGUCUAUCAUUUCCCAUGCCAUGUGGUAAGCAUAACAAAUUACGAAUUCAUUGCCUUUACUACAUGAAACUACUAUAACUUCUGCUGCCCCAAGUGUGUAUUCCUAUACAUGUUUCUUGUAAUGUCUUUCUGGGCCAGCAGGUUAGUCAUAGAUGUAUUUACGUGGUUGAGGUUCACCGUUGUCUUGAAAUAUGGAGAACUGGAUAAUCUACUCGAAUAUGCAGUUUAGCUUCCGAGAUAUUGUUGUUCAAUUACCUACCUAGUAUGCCUUCGUUAUAUGUUGGUGUUGCAGGGGAGCAGCCAUUUCCUUUUUUUCCUGACACUAGCAAUUACUAUGAGCAAAAAUCAAGUUUGUAGUAUAUGAUCUCUUCUUUUCCAUUUCUAAGUGCAGAUUCAUGCAUCUUUUUCUGCUUUUUAAUUUAGUUAUUAGCUUAUUUUUUAAUGUGUUCCCUAAGAAGGUGAUCUAUGUUCUUGUUCAUGUCAAAUGCCAAUCUCUGAUAAAUUAGAAGAGUAAUUACUUCUGUCCCACUGUUAGUCUGGUGGAAAUUUUUUUUGUACAAAGAUUCACACUAAAGGCAGUUUCAGCUUAACGAGGACAUGACCUUAGGUAGGAGGUUGUGGAGGAUACGGAUUAAGGAAGAAGGUUAGUCUGCCUAUACUAGCAGUCGUAAUAUUACUAGUGUAGUUUCUUGUCCUUCGAUUUCUGUUGCUAUCUCUUGUUUCUUAUACUUAUUGCAUUUCUCUAUCUCAGGAGUCGGGUUUAUCGAGUUCGAUAUGGCGAAUUCGUAGGUUCAAUUCCUGCUGGAUGCACCUGAACCUGAAGUGAAAUCGCUGCUCACGGAAUUCAUACAUAUAGCUCGCCCUUCUUUAUGGGGCACUUCACUCGCUCAACACUCGUUCAAAACAUCCCGACUAUCGUAUUAUAUUGUUGUAGUACUAUCUGUUCACUAUCUUUAUUAUCUGUCUUUUCGUAUACUUCCAUUACUUAUUUUUUUGGACUGCUUUGGACUUUCUUUCUUGAGCUUAGGGUCUAUCUGAAACAACCUCUCCAGACCCACUUUGUGGGACUACGCUGUGUAUGUUGUUGUUUUUUCAAUAAAGGCAGUGAACAUCCAAACAGAUUAUUUGUUUCA